AGCUCCAAUAGCGUAUAUUAACGUUGUUGCAGUUAAAAAGCUCGUAGUUGGAUUUCUGGCGGCCUGUGCCUUCAUUUCCGUCAAGGAUCUCGAGUGGCUCGGGCUCGCCAUCUUUGUGGAGAGCGGGUGUGGCAUUCAUUUGUCGUGCCCGGGAUCUGCAUCUUUUACUGUGAAAAAAUUAGAGUGUUUAAAGCAGGCAAUCGCUUGAAUACAUUAGCAUGGAAUAAUGAGAAAGGACCUUGAGUGCUAUUUUGUUGGUUUGUACACCGAGGUAAUGAUUAACAGGGACAGUUGGGGGUAUUCGUAUUUGAUUGUCAGAGGUGAAAUUCUUGGAUUUAUUAAAGACGAACGACUGCGAAAGCAUUUACCAAGGAUGUUUUCAUUAAUCAAGAACGAAAGU
rnacentral:rRNA from 1 species